GUGCUCACUUUGGCAGCACCUAUACUAAAAUUGGAAUGACAUAGAGAAGAUUAGCCUGGCCCCUGCACAAGGAUGACAUGCAAAUUCAUGAAGGGUUAUAUAUUUUA
ensembl:snRNA U6 U6 spliceosomal RNA